UCUGCUUUACAGGGUGUCACAAAUUUCAGAUUUGGAAAAGGGGCAGGGAUUUUGCUUCUUUUUUCUUCUUCUUCAGCUGGAUGUUAUCUAACAGACUCAGUUGGAUGCAACUCUGUGCAUAUAAUUUAAGGAAAAGUACGGUAUUUGUUCUAUUCAUAGAAGCAGUUUUAGUUAAAAUAUGUCCACUUUAUUAAUAUGUUGGUCUUUUACAAAUCUCUUGAAUAUUCUAAUGUUUUUCCAGAAGAAAAGUUUACAUAAACAUUUGUAACUAUGUGAUUUUACAGAUCCUUCUUUAAAAUUCAAAGCUCUACUUAUCAAAACAAAUUUGUAAAUUGAUUAAGUAUACUUUAAUGAGCUAUUUUCAGCAUUUGUAUCAUCUGUUUUUCUAAUAAUUUUUUUUCAUUUGACAUUAUUUAAAAGAGAAAAUCUUUAUUUUGAGUAAAUGAUAUAAUACAAGUCUUGGCACGAAUGUGUGUCAUCUUCACACAAAUAGUCAUAAUUGUAUGGUUAAGUACAAUUUGUAUUUUUGAUGAACACGUUUUUAUGCAUGUUCUUGGUCAUAACUUUAUAUUGAUAUUGACUGCUUGGAUGCCUAAUUUUACAAAUGGUGAUCUCUUAUUUAAAGCUUUAGUGUUUGACAUCCUAAAAUCUAGCAGUAAGCAUUCCAAUAAUUUAUACCUUUGUACUGAUCUCUGAAGAUUUAGAGAAAUUGCAAAGCUUUGUAUUUCUAUUUAGGAAGGUAAUAUUUACAUGCAGUGCAGAAAAAUUAAGUUUAUAUUCCUAAGUUUUUUUCUCUUGUAAUUCAUUUAUCUAAGCUUAGUUUACCAGUGCUAUUCUUGGAGGACAAAGCAGUCUGUGUUUCUGAUCAUUAUGAUAAUUCUACAUUAUCAGUAUUGGAGGUAGUUUGCCUCUGAAUAUCAGUGGCUAGGGAACAUGCUCAGGAAAAUGGUACUGUACUGAUGUCCUGCUUGUGGACUUUCCAGGGUUGUCUAGCUGGUCAGGGUGCGAAGGAAUGCUGAAUUGGCUCCAUACCAUCAGGGCAGUUCUUCACUGAAAACAAUUGAUGUUAGUGAUCCACUUUGGGAAUGAUUCUGGACAACUUUUCUAACAUUUUCUACAGUAUAAGAGCUCAAUCAUUAUGCUUUUUGCUGCUUCCAGAGUGGCUUUUAAAAAGCUAAGAAAUGCUAUGAUUUUUUUUAGGAAAGUUAAGAUAGGAAAGGUAGUCAUCUCUAGGAAAAGAAAACACACAAAGAUUCUGUUGGCAUGAUUCUAGACUAGCACUGAUCUAUCAGAGUUUUCUCUCUAGGCAACUUUCCUGUUUCACAUCCUUUAGUCAAAACCUCUUUCUGCUGUCUGUUUAAAAAACAAACAAACCUGGUACCAGGUAGUUUGCAAAGAAGCUUUUAAUGACUACUGAAGUAAUAUGGAAAUGAAGAAAAUGGGGGCUAGAACUAGUCUGAGCUGUCCUGUCCUUUCCUUUCAUAAAUAGCAGUGCUCUGUUUCAAAACUGCAAGGCUCUGAAACUCUUAGAGUUUCUUCAAAGCAUGUGCUACCAAGCAUAACAAAGUACUUUUAGCAGCUAGAGUGACAGUAUGCCUUGGACCCCUAGGUUACCUUGUGGGACUUUCAAAUGAGUGGAAACCUUAUCUGUCUCCAGCCAUUGCUAAGCUACAGUUCUCAUCAGUUCUGAUCAUUGGCAGUCUUGAGUCUGAUGGGUGUUAGUCCAGCAGUAUCUAGAAGACACUGGGUACCUCAUCUCUCCUUUAAAACGUCAGUUAUCAAAAAGCCUUAACAUUCUCACAAAAUUGACCUUAUUCAUGCAGUGAGUUUGGCUAUUGACUUUGGUACCUGGAGGAUGGAGGCCAUUGGAUACAAGAUACAUUGGAUCCUAGUUGGUUUUCUAUUUUCUUUCUCUCCAUUGCCUUUUGGCAUUUUUAAAUAAAUCAUUAAGCACCAUAUUAUCUUCUGCAUUAGUAUUAUACUAAUUGUAACUAUGGUGGAGAUAGAAAGUAUUGUUCUGCCUUCCCCACAACCCCUGCCUUUAAAGUUUCAAUUAUGAGGUAGACAUGUGGAGUCUUGGUUUGUUUUUUUCCCACCAUUUUGUCAUCUCUCUUCAGCUUUACUCCUUGACUGAGAUAAAAUUUUUAAUCUUUCCACCUCAUUAAGGAACUAAAAGAAGAGGGUUAGUUUGCACCUUAAGAAUCCUUGAAAUGAUCUAACGUUUGCCUGAUUGUCUGCUGGAUGUUGUUGUUCAAGUGAGUGAAUGUCCUAUAACACCUGUCUUCUGAAUGACUAGAACAACAUGCAGUAAAAUAUAAAAGGUCAUAGGAGUAGUCUUUUCUUUCUAUGACAGCAUAAUCUUGUUUAAUAAGGUAACCAUGUAAAAAAUUAGUAGAGGCUGGUACAAUUGUAAAUGCUUUCAUAGCAUUUAGCUAUCACGAGUUUGCCUGGAAUAUCAAAGCAUAGAUUACUGAAAUCCAGCGCAACUAUAUGAAUUAUAGUUUUUCAGUUUGAUAAGACUGAGCACUGAAUUGCAGCCCUUAGCAGGAAACAAUUGUAGAACCAUGUGGUUUAACUGUAUAUUUUUAUGAAGCAAUUAAUAUUUGCUAAGACCAAGUGAAGUCAUUGGGCCAAUCAGGAAAUAUUUUAAUUUUAUAAAACUAGAUUUGUGUUGGAGUUUACUGUAUUCAAGAGAAGAAGGAUAGGAUGAGAUAAAGGCUAUUAUAAAAUGUAUUCAUGUAUUGAACAUAGCAGCGUGCUGUUAUUGCUCUAAAUAAAUAGUUUGGAGUAGCCAGGGCUACUGUAGAAUUUUAUAAUAUAAUAUUAUACAAACUUACUUGGAAGUAAUCAUUCACUGAACAUAAGAUUAUAAUCUGCAAGUUAGUUCUUAACUCAGUGUUUUUUUUCUUAAGUCUGACUUUUGGGUUUUCUGGGCUUGUCCUAAAAAUCAGUGAGAUUAAAUUGUGAUUGUGGGAAAGAAUAGACAAUGGCAAAAAAAUUUUGCCUCAUGACUUAUUAACAGCAAGGAGCAAGACAAAAGUAAUAUUAUUUAAAGUUAAACAAAUUGAAACUGAAAGAUUCAUCCAAAAAAUCUCUUAAUUGCUGUAAUCCAUAAUGAUUCAUAAAUGGGAUCCUGUGGCAAGGUUGAAUUGCCAUUUUUAAAAUCAGAUUAAAUUUGUUGGAGAAUCCAAAAAUUAACAUAUAUAAUGUUUCCGAACAGAAGCAGUGACUACAUUGUAUUGAAGUAUGUGCAUAUAUGCAAUAAUUUAACCAGCAAAGAUUAAACAAUACUCUGUAUAGUCAUUAUGUAUUUAUUGCUGUUCCACAGGGUCCCCCCCCCCCCGUUUUUUUUUAGGAACUUGAAAAUAAAGAUUUGAAAUUUAUUAAUUUUUUUUGUUAUAUGUACGUCCUUAUUUUAUUAUCAGAAGUAAAAAGUAUCCUUCCCAGCACACUUCUGCUUUGGAUAUAUUCAGUUAUAAAAUGUACAGUUGUAACUGUGCUCUAUCAUUAUGAAACACCGGGGUUUACAUUAGCUUGGGUUCAGAAUCUUUGUGUACUUGUAAAUGUAUGAUUGUUCUUCAGUUUCGCUAUAGAUACCUGAGCAGCUUAGAAGAAAGCCACAGUUGUCAAACUACAACCGCUUUCUUCUGAGUUAAUACAGCAUUCCUGUACUGGUAAUGGUAGGAUUAGUAUAACCAUUUUAAUUUCAUGCUCAUUGCACUUCAGAGUGACAGCUAAAUGUUUCUCCUACCCAAUCUGUUGUGUUUUAUUUCUGAUGUACUAUUGAAAACAUGGAAUAAGGUUUGAGUGGUCUUACAUUUUUCUAACAGCAUCCAUUCAAGGGGACGUACCCUUCCUCCACAAAGGAUAGUCAGUGGAAUUGUGAAAGAAUUGAAUGAAAUUACAUACGUUAACAUUGACCUGCAGGGCCAAUGCUGUUUCCUCAGUGUUGUGCUGGCAGGGUUCUGUAACAGGAAGAAAAUUCCAUGUCUAAAAAUUUGCAUCUCAGUUCACUUACGUCAAGCUGUGAAUUGUUUGCUUGUUGUUUGACAACUUGCUAGAUUUAGCGAGCUAAAACCAAACAAUGUUUUAACAUUUUUAAAUGUGUUAACAAUUUUUGUGUUAACAUUUUCCUGCCUCUCUCAACUAUAUACAUGAGGACAGAAAGAACCUUGACAUAAGGGAAUCUGCAUCUUUAAAUAAGGUUUUUCCCUUUCAUAUACAGUAAUUUGUGAAGGGGCUGUACAAAUUGCCACCUAUGAGAAAAAGGGGCCAGCCUGGCUAAUUUCUUUUAUAAGUGUCUUAAGAACAUGAGAAACUGCUUUAAUCAUAACAUGUGAUUCACUGAGUUAAAUGGUGCUUGCCCUUAACUCAAGGAGUCCCUGUCCAGAGUUUUAACUAAGCCUUCCCUGCAGGUGGUAUGAUUGAAUUUAACCUCCUUUGUAUUAAAGUAUUUACUCUAGCACUGA